GAUGAACGCUGGCGGCGUGCCUAAUACAUGCAAGUCGAGCGAACGGACGAGAAGCUUGCUUCUCUGAUGUUAGCGGCGGACGGGUGAGUAACACGUGGAUAACCUACCUAUAAGACUGGGAUAACUUCGGGAAACCGUAGCUAAUACCGGAUAAUAUUUUGAACCGCAUGGUUCAAAAGUGAAAGACGGUCUUGCUGUCACUUAUAGAUGGAUCCGCGCUGCAUUAGCUAGUUGGUAAGGUAACGGCUUACCAAGGCAACGAUGCAUAGCUGACCUGAGAGGUGGAUCGGCCACACGGGAACUGAGACACGGUCCAGCUUCCUACGGGAGGCAGCAGUAGGGAAUCUUCCGCAAUGGGCGAAAGCCUGACGGAGCAACGCCGCGUGAGUGAUGAAGGUCUUCGGAUCGUAAAACUCUGUUAUGAGGGAAGAACAUAUGUGUAAGUAACUGUGCACAUCUUGACGGUACCUAAUCAGAAAGCCACGGCUAACUACGU
rnacentral:rRNA from 1 species